rnacentral:rRNA from 1 species
UACGUAGGGGGCAAGCGUUGUCCGGAAUUACUGGGUGUAAAGGGCGUGUAGGCGGGAUAUUAAGUUAGAUGUGAAAUACCAAGGCUCAACUUUGGAACUGCAUCUAAAACUGAUAUUCUAGAGUAUGGGAGAGGAAAGCGGAAUUCUCAGUGUAGCGGUGAAAUGCGUAGAUAUUGAGAGGAACACCGGUGGCGAAGGCGGCUUUCUGGACCAAAACUGACGCUGAGGCGCGAAAGCGUGGGGAGCAAACAGG